rnacentral:lncRNA from 1 species
CCACUAUAUCCUUCCCCUGUAUAAAGCACUUCUGAGUUGUUUUGUUGCUGUUUGAGCCUCAUUUCCCAAGUUCCUAGUGAGGCUGAGCAUUUUUCAUGCUGUUAUGAGUAAUUUGCAUUUCCCCUGGACCCAACAUGGAAGCCCCUGAAGGAAUUUAUUUACUGAAGCCCCUGAUGGAAUCAUCCUGGCAGGGGCAUAGGUGAAGAAGGAGGAAGUUGGACUUUGAGGAAACAGUAGGAGAGGUGGAGGGGGAUUAGAGGAAGGAAGAGAGGAAAAGGAGGUCCCAGUUCUCAGCCUUCUGCCCUAGAUUCUCUCUGCAUCAUCUGCAUCCCUCUUGUCUUCUCUGCUGAAUCAGGUCUAUUUCUUAGGGCUCGAGUGCCUAACUCACUCCUCACUCACCUGUCUGGAGAGCCUCAAGCAAGACAGACUGAGGAGCCUCAGUCCUGGCCCCUGAAGAGCAUCUUAGAUAAUACUCCAUAUGGGGUGAUGACCCUACCAGGCACGUCUUCUGCUCCAGCCUCGUAGCUACUAAGCCUUCCCUGACAUUCAUUCUAGGCCUGACACCCCCUCCCUGAGCCUCACCACUCCCCCACACUUAUCCCAUUCCAAAGCCUCACACUGUAUCUGGUCCCAGCUCCAUGCUGAAUCUGCCUGUUCCUAACACCUCACUGCGACCCUGACUCUUACUCUCCCUCCUUGUAGAUCUCUCCCGAUUCCUGGCAUUCAUCCUUCUCUGACCUCCUCCCAAGCUGCCACCCCAUCCCUGCCCCCACCCCAUCUUUGAUUUCAACAUCAAUCGCUGAUCCCCAUCUCAAGCUUGAUCUAGGUCCUGUCUCUGAGCCUCACCCUAUUCCCAACCUCAAGCCAUCCCUGAUCCUUCCCCACACAUGCUAAACCCACACACUCUCAGUUUUGCUUAAGCUAGUUUGACUUCUGUUUCUAUCAUUUGCUAUCAGAAGAGCCCUGACAUCAUCAGCCCUCACUUGGGACAUCUUUACACAGAUAAAUAUCUAAUGAAGCUAAACCACAAAGGCAAACUUAAUAAGUGGACAGCGAGAGGCUGAAAGGGGAGAGGACAGACAAGAGGAGCUUUGAACAGAUGGUGUGCAAAUGAGCUGUGGUUGGCCGGGAGCAGUGGCUCGCACCUGUAAUCCCAGCACUUUGGGAGGCCGAGGCGGGUGGAUCAUGAGGUCAGGAGAUCGAGACCAUUCUGGCUAACACGGUGAAACCCCAUCUCUACUAAAAAUACAAAAAAAUUAGCCGGGCAUGUUGGUGGGCACCUGUAGUCCCAGCUACUCGGGAGGCUGAGGCAGGAGAAUGGUGUGAACCCGGGAGGCGGAGCUUGCAGUGAGCCAAGAUCGUGCCACUGCGCUCCAGCUUGGGCGACAGAGCGAGACUCAAAAAAAAAAAAAAAAAAA